AGUGGUGUACUCAUUCACCAAAUCACAUGUGUUUCUCGGGCGUCGUUUUCGCCAAUGACAUACCGAUCACCGACACCGUGCGUUCUUUAAGGCGCCGUUUUCACCAGUGAUAUCCUCGAUCACCGAACCACGUGUCCUUUCAAGGGCACCGUUUUCGCCAAGGUGACAUCGGCUAUAGACAACAUCGUGAGUUCUUUAAGGCGUCGUUUUCACCAGUGAUAUUUCCAU
rnacentral:lncRNA from 1 species